UAGAGCAAUUUUAAGUCUUUGUACAUCUUGGUGCCUAUAAUAUACCAGAUUUUGGUAAAGAAAAUAAAAAUAAAUAAAAAUAGUGUGGGAUACUAUUUUUAUUGGAUUUACUAUUUUUAUUGGAUUUAGAGAAGUAAAACAUAAGUCAGAAUUGAUUUGUGCUGGAAUCGGAAUGAAAACAGAAGAUUUAGAAUUUUCUGUUGAAAACGAGACAGAUAAAUUAGCAAAAAAUGCAC
rnacentral:lncRNA from 1 species